rnacentral:rRNA from 1 species
GACAGAGGGUGCAAACGUUGCUCGGAAUCACUGGGCGUAAAGGGCGUGUAGGCGGGACAGUAAGUCGGGCGUGAAAUCCCUGGGCUCAACCCAGGAACUGCACUCGAAACUACUAUUCUUGAGUGUCGGAGAGGAAAGCGGAAUUCCUGGUGUAGAGGUGAAAUUCGUAGAUAUCAGGAGGAACACCAGUGGCGAAGGCGGCUCUCUGGGACGGUACUGACGCUGAGACGCGAAAGCGUGGGGAGCGAACAGG